rnacentral:ncRNA from 1 species
UAAUGUGUUGUGAACACCCCAUAAACCGAGACCUCUAGGGUGUAUAAACACGUCUCUCAUAUCCUCUCUAAGGGUGAGAGGAGAUAGUAACUCCA